AUUGAACGCUGGCGGCAUGCCUUACACAUGCAAGUCGAACGGUAACAGGUCUUCGGAUGCUGACGAGUGGCGGACGGGUGAGUAAUGCGUGGGAAUCUACCUGGCAAUGGGGGAUAACCCGGGGAAACUCGGGCUAAUACCGCAUACGCCCCAUGGGGGAAAGCGGGGGACCUUCGGGCCUCGCGUUGUCAGAUGAGCCCACGUCCGAUUAGCUAGUUGGUGGGGUAAUGGCCUACCAAGGCGACGAUCGGUAGCUGGUCUGAGAGGACGACCAGCCACACUGGGACUGAGACACGGCCCAGACUCCUGCGGGAGGCAGCAGUGGGGAAUUUUGGACAAUGGGCGCAAGCCUGAUCCAGCAAUGCCGCGUGCAGGAAGAAGGCCUUCGGGUUGUAAACUGCUUUUGUUACGGAGCGAAAAGGUCUUCCCUAAUACGGGAGGCUGAUGACGGUACCGUAAGAAUAAGCACCGGCUAACUACGUG
rnacentral:rRNA from 1 species